rnacentral:rRNA from 1 species
AUAGCGUAUAUUAAAAUUGUUGCGUCUAAAAAGCUCGUAGUUUGAAAACUUGCCUUGGCUUACAAUCGGUCCUUUCAGGGCCACCGUUUGUUGAGUGCAAAUAUAGAUGACUGUUCUUGCCGACUUUACUGUUUGGCUUGUAAGAGUUAUCAAAUAUCACUUUGAUUAAAUUAGAGUGCUUAAAGCAAGUGUGUUACUUGGAUAUAAAUGCAUGGAAUGAUGGAAUAUGUUGUUGUUCUAUUUGUUGGUUUUUGAACGAUGAAAUGAUUGAAAGGAACUGUUGGGGGCAUUCGUAUUGUUGUGAGAGAGGUGAAAUUCUUAGACCACAGCAAGACGAACUACUG